AAACCAAACUCAGUGAUCAAUCAGUGCAUCUGUAGCAUGGUGACCCACUCACUGGGCUAUCCAAAUACACAUUUCGAACCUGCUCAGGUAACACGUCCAUUAUUUUCCCGUCUCAUCUGCCGGCUGAGCAGAUUAGGAAACUACAUUAUUGCCACAGCCGCAUGUGGUAUCUGGUCCGAUAUAUGUUCAUCGUUCUGUGUCGGAAUAUCUUAGCGGGAACCAUGAUCAUUUGGACACUGUGCGUCUACUUCAGAGAAGCGGUUUGGUCUCAGCCACA